CCGCCGGCGACCGGCGCACGGGUGAGUAACACGUAUGCAACCUGGCCGUGACAGAUGGAUAACCGGGAGAAAUCCCGCCUAAUACAACAUAAUGCCGGGAGGGGACAUCCCCUGCCGGCCAAAGGGGGCGACCCCGGUCACGGAUGGGCAUGCGGCGCAUUAGGUAGUUGGUGGGGGCAACGGCCCACCAAGCCGACGAUGCGUAGGGGUUCUGAGAGGAAGGUCCCCCACAUUGGAACUGAGACACGGUCCAAACUCCUACGGGAGGCAGCAG
rnacentral:rRNA from 1 species